UAAUUCGGAAGGUGCAAGCGUUUUCCGAAUUUAUUAGGUUUAAAGGUGUGGUAGGCCGGGAACUUAAGUCAGUUGUAAAAAGCUUGUAGCUUAACUAUGACAAAGCCAUUGAUACCUGGGUUUCUUGAAGUACGGUUGAAGUAGGCGGAAAUGUGUUUGUGUAGCCGUGAAAUGCCAUAGAUAUAACACAGAACACCCGAUUGCGAAGGCAGCUUACUAAGCCGUUCACUGACCGCUGAUGCACGAAAAGCGUGGGUAUCAAACAGGAUUAGAUACCCUGGUAGUCCACGCUGUAAACGAUGAUUACUCGUUGUUGGCGAUAUACAGUCAGCGACUGAGCGAAAGCAUUAAGUAAUCCACCUGGGGAGUACGUUCGCAAGAAUGAAACUCAAAGGAAUUGACGGGGGCCCGCACAAGCGGAGGAACAUGUGGUUUAAUUCGAUGAUACGCGAGGAACCUUACCUGGGCUUAAAUGUAUAUUGCAUAAUGUGGAAACAUAUUUUUUCUUUGGAACUAUAUACAAGGUGCUGCAUGGUUGUCGUCAGCUCGUGCCGUGAGGUGUCGGGUUAAGUCCCAUAACGAGCGCAACCCUCAUUGCCAGUUGCCAGCAAGUAAAGUUGGGGACUCUGGUGAGACUGCCGGUGCAAACCGUGAGGAAGGUGGGGAUGACGUCAAAUCAGCACGGCCCUUAUGUCCAGGGCUACACACGUGUUACAAUGGCCAAAACAAUGGGCAGCCACUUAGUGAUAAGGAGCUAAUCCUGAAAAUUGGUCUUAGUUCGGAUCGGAGUCUGCAACUCGACUCCGUGAAGCUGGAUUCGCUAGUAAUCGCAUAUCAGCCAUGAUGCGGUGAAUACGUUCCCGGGCCUUGUACACACCGCCCGUCAAGCCAUGGAAGUUGGGGGUGCCUGAAGUCCGUAACCGCGAGGAUCGGCCUAGGGUAAAACCGAUGACUGGGGCU
rnacentral:rRNA from 1 species